AAAUUAUUAAAUAGCCGCGGUAUCUUGACCGUGCAAAGGUAGCAUAAUCAUUAGUUUUUUAAUUGGAAACUUGUAUGAAUGGUUGGACAAAGAAGAAUCUGUCUCUUUUAUUAAUAUUGAACUUAACUUCUAAGUGAAAAGGCUUAGAUUUUCUAGAGGGACGAUAAGACCCUAUAAAGCUUUAUAAGUUUAAAAAUUUUAUAUAUUUUUGUUUAAAAAUAAUUUUUUAAAUAUUUAUUUGGUUGGGGCGACAAAAGUAUAAAAAGUAACUGCUAGAAUUUAAUACAUAUAUAGUUGAUUAAUGAUAUUAAUAGAUCCUUUAUAAGGAUUUUAAGAUCAAGUUACUUUAGGGAUAACAGCGUUAUUUCUUCUGAGAGUUCUUAUCAAAGGAGAAGUUUGCGACCUCGAUGUUGAAUUAAAAUGUCUUUAUAGUGCAGCAGCUAUAUAAGAAGGUCUGUUCGACCUUUAAUAUUUUACAUGAUUUGAGUUCAGACCGGCGAGAGCCAGGUCGGUUUCUAUCUUCUAGAGAGAUAAAGGGUACUUUAGUACGAAAGGAUUAAGUAGUCAAAAUUUUUUUGUGUAUUGAAAU
rnacentral:rRNA from 1 species